CACGUAGGGUGCGAGCGUUUGUCCGGAAUUAUUGGGCGUAAAGAGCUCGUAGGCGGUGUGUCGCGUCGGCCGUGAAAACCUGCAGCUUAACUGUGGCUUGCGGUCGAUACGGGCAUCACUGGAGUUCGGCAGGGGAGACUGGAAUUCCUGGUGUAGCGGUGAAAUGCGCAGAUAUCAGGAGGAACACCAGUGGCGAAGGCGACACGCUGGGCCGUACCUGACACUGAUGCGCGACAGCAU
rnacentral:rRNA from 1 species